UGGAUGAUGUGGAUUAAUUCGAUGCAACGCGAAAAACCUUUACCUACCCUUGACAUGUCUGGAACCUUGCUGAGAGGCGAGGGUGCCUUCGGAGCCAGAACACAGGUGCUGCAUGGCUGUCGUCAGCUCGUGUCGUGAGAUGUUGGGUUAAGUCCCGCAACGAGCGCAACCCUUAUCAUUAGUUGCUACGCAAGGGCACUCUAAUGAGACUGCCGGUGACAAACCGGAGGAAGUGGGGAUGACGUCAAGUCCUCAUGGCCCUUAUGGGUAGGGCUUCACACGUCAUACAAUGGUCGGUACAGAGGGUUGCCAAGCCGCGAGGCGGAGCCAAUCCCACAAAGCCGAUCGUAGUCCGGAUUGUUCUCUGCAACUCGAGAGCAUGAAGUCGGAAUCGCUAGUAAUCGCAGGUCAGCAUACUGCGGUGAAUACGUUCCCGGGUCUU
rnacentral:rRNA from 1 species